UACGUAGGGCGCAAGCGUUGUCCGGAAUUAUUGGGCGUAAAGAGCUCGUAGGCGGCUUGUCACGUCGGAUGUGAAAGCCCGGGGCUUAACCCCGGGUCUGCAUUCGAUACGGGCAGGCUAGAGUUCGGUAGGGGAGAUCGGAAUUCCUGGUGUAGCGGUGAAAUGCGCAGAUAUCAGUCGGAACACCGGUGGCGAAGGCGGCUUCUUGGGCCGUUCCUGACGCUGAGGCGCGAAAGCUGGGGGAGCGAACGGG
rnacentral:rRNA from 1 species